CCGUAUACAUACAUACAUACAUUAAAGAUGAUGGAAUGAAAACAAAAUUAGAAUCACUGGCACAUAAUGAUACGAUUCUUCCUUUCUCUUUGUUCUCUACUUAUUCUCGUGUUGGAUGCGUGUGAGAUUGUCUCUUUGAUUUCGAUCAAAAG
rnacentral:ribozyme from 13 species